UGGAGGAGGACUUGGUGGUGCUAAGGAAUGGAGUACUACAAGGACGGACGCCGCUUCCGUUGAACUCAGGUGAGCUUGCGAAUUCGCGAUGGCCUUGGUGAUUUUACUGUUACUGCUACUCUAUUAGUCAUGGAAUUCGGGAGAUCUUGGGUUCGAAUUUUAUUUUCUGGGAUUUUUAUCGGGGUGUAUGCAACUGUAUAACUGUAAAUUGGCUUGCCCCUGGGUGUUCUUGGUUGGUGAUUCGACAAUGAUUUGAAGCGGUCUGGCUUAUCAGCCGGUGGUUAGGUGGAGUCGGGUUAUUAUAGUUUCGGUAUAGGAGGGGGAAAGGUGGCACAAAUCUGGGGGCAGGGCAUGUUUCUGCCUGAUUGAUCCAAUCAUUUUUUUUCUUCUGGUAUCAAUCAAUCAUGCCAGCAUCUGAAACGGAUUAUCAAAUCUGAAUUGGCACUGUUUUUUAUAUAUAAUGAUACCAUACAGCUCGAGAUGAACAUAUGCUUGACUGAAUAGUUGUUCAUACAUCUGGAGGUGUUACUAUGAGUACAAUUACCAUUCAGAAAGAAAGAAACUAUGAGUAAAAUGCAGAGAACGCACUUCCAGACUAUCAAUCAUGCAUGCCCAUAUCAUUUGCUUUGCUUAAUGUUUCUUAGUUUAACUUACUAAUCUCUUGUCUGUGUAAUUUUUGCUGCCAGAAGGGAUCCAAAUAGGUUGCAACUGGGAGUAAAAUAUGUGUCUAAACUGAUUGUCUGGUGCGAAAAUCGACGACCAAGAUCCAGUUAUGUGUAUUGUAGGACAACACCUUUCAUUAGAUACACUUUGAUGCUAUUUCUAGCAUGAAUUUCUAUUUCAGACUUAGAACUAAAAUUCUGAACAACUAAAAUCGCUCUUGUUCCUUAUUUUUGUAGGGCGGUUCCUCUCGUUUUACUGGUUCGUCCGCUCCUUCAUGAUUGAUGUACUGGUUCUGGCCGCUCCUUCGUGAUAGACUCGGUUAACUCUUUGUUGGCCUUGUGGGUCGUAAUUGUUUCUCUCCAUAUGCAUAUACUUCCUGAUGUAUUGCUCAUGCUCAUUCUGUACCGAGAUAGACCUAAUAUCCGUAGGGUUGUAGAUUGAUUUCCCCUGAAAAAGCUAUGCUUCUUUCCUUGGAUGAUAAGCAUGUUCCGCAGCUAUGUGGAAUUCUUAAGAUAAACGGUCUUUAGUUUCUUUUGGUGCAUCUGCGUGCACAUAACAGUCUGUUAGUUUCUCAGUCUGUUAGUUUCUCUUUAUAUAAUGAAAAAAUAUAUGUUGUUGUCGCUUGUUUAUUAUUAUCUAUCAUUUGUAUAUUGAUUUUUAGGCCACCAGUACUUGUAUGUAUAAUUUCUAGUCUCUUGAAUGAAUAAUUUUUCUUUAUGUGCCAUGCGUCUUGUGUUACUACAUACAUCUGUCGUGAAGUACAUGGUUCUGGAACUAUGGUAACCCGUAGUUUGCUCUACCCGUGAUAGUAGGAUGAUGGAAGCAUCACUACUGAAUGUAGUUCAUGUUUCUUCAUAUAAUCAUCAUUUACUAGAGUUUCUCUUCUUCUUGCUACUACUUGGUUUUUGACGCCACUAGCUUGUACUGAAAUGUAAACACAUCAUAUUGUUCUCAUCAGACCAGUGUACCUUGAGCAUGCAAAGUAAACACAUGCUACUCCACUUGUCUAUUUUUACAUAAACUUUUGUUUAAAUAAACCGAGCUAAUAAACCAAACGGUGCAAACACAUUCAGUUCUGAAAUUUGUCUACUCCACUUGUUUGAUUGUACUGAAACCUUUGUUUGCAUGUUUCUAAAAUGCAGAGAAGAACACCCUGUGUUCUGGUAAAAUAUUUGUUUGCUAUGAUAUGAAAUUCCAUGAUGUGUGUGUUGUUUCAGUUUCUGUAGCUACAACAAAGUCCUAGUUUACUCUAUACUUGCUUUUGAUGAUUGCUGGCUAAAUUUACAGUUGAAAUAAUAGUAGCCAAGGAGUAGAUACAAGACGUAUUUACCAUAUUUUGCAUGGAAUGUUAAAAAUCAGUUUUGUUGUGGUUUCUUGUUCUGUGAGUCAAAUUGCAUAAGAUGGGAGUAUCACAACAUGCAUAUACUGAAGCUGGGAGUAUCACAACCUGAAUGUGCAGCUUAUGUAGUUUCUGUAUUUUUGUUAAAGCAUGGAGUAGCUUCUAUAGUUUCUGUAUUUUUGUUAAAGCAUGGAGUAGCUUCUAUAGUUUCUGUAUUUCUGUAUUUUCGUUAAAGCAUGGAGUAGCUUCUAUAGCUUCCUCACAAGUUAAUGCUUUGCUCGUCCGGGUGUGUGAUAAUGCCAUUUGUCUUGUGCAAUCAGAUUACAUUUCUGUUUGUUAUGGUAAUAUAAAAAAUAUUCGUGCUGUCAAAAUUUUCACAGUGCGUGUCUUUCAUUUCUUUAAUUUGAUUGUUUCCCUUGUAUUCAAUAUGCUUCUAGUGGCUGAUCCUUCCAUUUUUGUUGUGGCAUCUUUAUUUUCACAGGUGUUGUGUGUUCUGGAAGAUGGAAGAGGAAGAAAUUGUUGAACUAAAUUUUUUGUAUUCUGUUUUGUUGUAUGUAUCAUUUGAUAGUUUUGUAUAGGAACAAGUGAUACUAUUUUGUAGGGCUUUAUGGCCUAUGAUGUAAACAUAUUUAGUGCUGAAAUAUGAAAUUAUUUGCAAAAUUUGUCAAAAAGGUGGAUCAUAUGUAUGAAUAUGUGAAUGGGCUGAAAAGAGUAAUGGACCAACUCCAGGAUUGAAU
rnacentral:lncRNA from 1 species